CUCGAUUAUUUGCCACAUAAUUAUGUGCGGUUAUUUCAUAUUUCGAAUAAUAAAUUAUCGAAAAAAACUUAUUCUUAACUUCGACUACUAAAUUUUGCCUAUCCAUGGCCCACAAUCCGUAUUUUCGACAACAAGAGGGGGUGGAAAGUGGCGGAGAGGGUAGUCGAGCGAGGUCGAGGGGAAAUCGUAACCCAUAAAGCGUCGCUACUAGUCACAGCCGCGGCAGUAAGCGUCCUGGCGUCCGUCGAGAAUGCGGUAUGCGGUGUACCUCUGCGUCAAGAUCGACACGUGGUUGUUCGAACGAUAUUCGAUACCCAGUUGCGUGGUUAAAUCGAACGAUAUUAUAAAUACGUCCAUUUACUUUUCUUUAAUAUUUUUUUUUCUCUUUCGUAAAGUGACAAAUUAUACUAUUUUUAUUUAAUUUGCAACGAUGACUGUAAAUUGAUAAAUAUAUGUACAAUAAUAGAAUAUAAUCGAAGCAAGUGUUGUGUCUUCUUCUUUGGAAACGCAUCUUUAUGUUUUCGUUCUCUGUGAUGUGAAUUGCUUCGUGGGAUUGGUUGUUUACGCGCGAAGAUGAUUGCGGUGAUUUGUCACGAAAAAUUUCUUUGAAGACAGAAAAUUGGAUGAAUUAGUUAUCUUGCAAAAACUAAUUGGAGAAAAUUUAUGAAAUGAAAAUUAUCGAAUCUGCCGAAUAGGUAAUGGGAAAAUUACUUAAAAAAUUAUGCAUACAUUAUUCAAUAAAAUGAUAAUAACGCAUAUCUAAAUGAUAAUCUUAUAUAUAUAGAUAAAAUAAUAAUUAUAUAAAUGAACUGUACAAUUUUCCACAAAUUUCAACAAGAAUAUUGCGAAUAAUCAAAUAUAUGAUCGAAACAAGAUUGAUUGACUUUUGAAAUAAUUUGUGUAAUUAUGAUUCUCCAUAGAUAAAAAUGGAGAUUGAUUAUUCGAAAUUUCGAAGCUCUUCAAAAUU